rnacentral:rRNA from 1 species
AGUCGAGGGGUAUGGUUCUUCGGAACCGAGACCGGCGCACGGGUGCGUAACGCGUAUGCAAUCUACCUUUUACAGAGGGAUAGCCCAGAGAAAUUUGGAUUAAUACCUCAUAGUAUUACGACUCGGCAUCGAGAUGUAAUUAAAGUCACAACGGUAAAAGAUGAGCAUGCGUCCCAUUAGCUUGUUGGUAAGGUAACGGCUUACCAAGGCAACGAUGGGUAGGGGUCCUGAGAGGGAGAUCCCCCACACUGGUACUGAGACACGGACCAGACUCCUACGGGAGGCAGCAGUGAGGAAUAUUGGUCAAUGGGCGCAAGCCUGAACCAGCCAUGCCGCGUGCAGGAUGAAGCAUCUAUGGUGUGUAAACUGCUUUUGUACGAGAAGAAACACUCCUUCGUGAAGGAGCUUGACGGUAUCGUAAGAAUAAGGACCGGCUAACUCCGUGCCAGCAGCCGCGGUAAUACGGAGGGUCCAAGCGUUAUCCGGAAUCAUUGGGUUUAAAGGGUCCGUAGGCGGUUUUGUAAGUCAGUGGUGAAAGCCCAUCGCUCAACGGUGGAACGGCCAUUGAUACUGCAAGACUUGAAUUAUUGGGAAGCAACUAGAAUAUGUAGUGUAGCGGUGAAAUGCUUAGAGAUUACAUGGAAUACCAAUUGCGAAGGCAGGUUGCUACCAAUAUAUUGACGCUGAUGGACGAAAGCGUGGGGAGCGAACAGGAUUAGAUACCCUGGUAGUCCACGCCGUANACGAUGGAUACUAGCUGUUCGGAGCAAUCUGAGUGGCUAAGCGAAAGUGAUAAGUAUCCCACCUGGGGAGUACGUUCGCAAGAAUGAAACUCAAAGGAAUUGACGGGGGCCCCGCACAGCGGUGGAGCAU